CCUCCUUUCUUCCUCCUUUUUUCCUCUUUCCCCCUUUUUUCCCCCCUUCUUCAGCGACGCCGCGUGAGUGAAGAAGUAUUUCGGUAUGUAAAGCUCUAUCAGCAGGGAAGAAAAAAGACGGUACCUGACUAAGAAGCCCCGGCUAACUACGUGUCAGCAGCCGCGGUAAUACGUAGGGGGCAAGCGUUAUCCGGAUUUACUGGGUGUAAAGGGAGCGUAGACGGCGCGGCAAGUCUGAAGUGAAAGGCAGGGGCUUAACCCCUGAACUGCUUUGGAAACUGCCAUGCUAGAGUGCUGGAGAGGUAAGUGGAAUUCCUAGUGUAGCGGUGAAAUGCGUAGAUAUUAGGAGGAACACCAGUGGCGAAGGCGGCUUACUGGACAGUAACUGACGUUGAGGCUCGAAAGCGUGGGGAGCAAACAGGAUUAGAUACCCCAGUAGUC
rnacentral:rRNA from 1 species